AAUGUGCUUCCACUUGGACAGAGCCAGUAUUGCCAACAGGCGGGGAACUCGCGCGUGUGUGUGGCUACAUACUCUGAGAUUUCUAAUUUUAUUUUCAUCACUUUCUCCCCACUCACUAGCACCCCUCACCCCAAUACACACACACUUGGCAGUAUCCUAACUUGUUCGCUCUUGCCCACGUUUGUCUUGGCGCCCUGGGGAAGAAGAGCAGGAAUCGUGGCGGGCUGUCUUGGAGAGGAUAACGGAAAUGCCCCACCGCACGCCCCCGGCGCAAGGGCCGGCGUCCCCAGUCCGCCGCAGGCAGCAGGAGAGCGGGGGUCCCCUCGGCCCCUCUGGGCUCUAGCGCGUCCGCUCCGGGCGUCGAGCUGUCCGGUUUCGCUGCGAGUCUGGGAGAGGAAGGCGGCUCGGCUGGCUCGGUUCUCCCCGCCGGUCCCCUGUGGCGGCCGCCCCUGGCCAGGGCCCGGCCACCUCCCCGCUCCUGGGCGGCUGCAGGUGCCCAGUGGCCUAUCCCGGGCGGGGGCGAGACGCCGAGCGGGCCGAACCUUCCCCACGUCCAGCUCGGGGAGCGUCUCGGUCGCGCGGCGGAGGCCCCUGGGCCCGGGCGCUCCCGGCUCCCUGCUCCCGGCUCCCGAGGCCUGUGGGCGCGGCGCACCAGGGCGCGGGCGGGCGGCGGCGGCAGCUCCAGGCGGAAGGCGCGGCGGGGCCACGGUCACGGCCCCCUCCGGGGCUCGGGCGGAAGCGCGGGCUCCGGGGGGGGAGGAGGGGCUGCCGCGCCCCGCCGAGGCCCAGGGAUCCCGGCCCCGAGCGAGCGGCUCCCGUCCGUGCAGAGGGGACCCGGGCUGCCCUCGCGCUCGCCGGGCCGGGGUGAGCCCUGCUCAGGUUCAGCCCCAACCCCGCGCGGCGGGGCGAUGCCGAAGCCCACGCAGGUCCGCCCGGCUGUGCGUCUUUCCCGGGCGCACACCAAGCCCCCUGCCAGGCGCUCAGGCCCCGGCUACGAGGCCGGCAGCUCCGGCGUUUGCCACCUCCAGACCCAGCGCCGCCAGCCCCGACUCCCGGCUCCCGGCGACUUCCCGGAUGGGGCCAUGCUUUUCUUCCAGGACAAUCGGGGCUCCUCCCCUCCCGGCGAUCUUUCUAGGAGGCCACCUCCAGAGACUGCGAGGCGAUUUCCUCCCUGCCGGUACCAAACUGUGA
ensembl:lncRNA